rnacentral:rRNA from 1 species
GUCCUAGCUGUAAACGAUGAUAACUAGGUGUGGGAGGUAUCGACCCCUUCCGCGCCGUCGCUAACGCAUUAAGUUAUCCGCCUGGGGAGUACGGCCGCAAGGUUAAAACUCAAAGGAAUUGACGGGGGCCCGCACAAGCGGUGGAGCAUGUGGUUCAAUUAGACGCUACGCGAAGAACCUUACCUGGGCUCGAACGACUGGUGGUAGUCCUUUCGAAAGAUUGGGCGACCCGCAAGGGAGCCAGCCGAGGUGCUGCAUGGCUGUCGU